AUUUACAUCAGCAGCUAACAAAAAAAUGUCACAAUCCCCUCUAGGAAUUCCACUCAGAGGGGAAAUGCCUUGCUAGCAUCCAGCCCCGCCCGGCUCCUCUCAGCUGGGAGACGUCUGCCUGCCUCAUACCCUUUCAUCACUGCCAGAGUGACUCAGGAAUGAGAUUUACAUUUCACCAGGAUGACUCAUCGGGGCUUUGAUCGCUCACUCAAUAAGUGUCACAAAGUAUUGGUCCAAAGAAAAGCGCGGUGUGUUCUGUACAGCACACACCAUCGAUCCUGUUGUGGUGGCAGCCCGGCUGACGGUGAGUGUCCUGGUUUUUUCUCCUU